AGGCUUCCAUCUGGCAGUGAGAAACCAGCUUCUCCCGUUGGGCUGUCCGAAGAUGACGCCCGUGUGCUGAGAGUCGUCGGCGACGAAGGGACCCUGGAAGUCGUCGAAGGUCACGCGGUACAAAAGCGUGUCGCAGUCGACAUCGCACCCGUCUAAGAAGUGCAUGCAUGGCGGAGGCGCUUCUAAAGUUGCGUCAUCUCGACGCAGCCGCCACACGGGAGAAAUGUCCGGGUCCGAAUCGCCUGCUUCUGGGCGCACGGCUGUUCCCCAGGCGUCCACUGCAGCCACCGAGGGCACGACCUCGGGGAAGCAGUGCAGGCACGCCUAUCUCGCGCGCAUCGCGGAAGCCCAGGAGCGCUUGACUCAACUGAGGGAGCAGCAGGCAGCUGAGGACACCAGUUUUCGUACCCAAGUACUGAAUCGCUUUGAAGAGGCUCACGCCACUACGUCUCGCCAGAUAGCCAUCGCGGAGCACCAGGGACGGGUCAUGGAUGAGUUGGCGGCAACCAUGCAGAACAUCUUACGACUACUUGUGGGAGACAAGCAGCAGCCGCCUCCAAGAAACCCGAGGCAGUGAUUUUAGCUGUUUGUUUGCUUGCCUCCAAUUCUCUGCGUAUUGAUGCACGUAAUCAAUUUAUUCUACACAAGAAGGGCUUGCUGAUACCAUACACGUAUUGUGUUAGUAAAAUAGACGGACAAAAUAAAAUCGAAUUGCGCAUGAAAA